AUUGAACGCUGGCGGCAGGCUUAACACAUGCAAGUCGAGCGGGGUGAUGGUGCUUGCACUAUCACUUAGCGGCGGACGGGUGAGUAAUGCUUAGGAAUCUGCCUAUUAGUGGGGGACAACAUCCCGAAAGGGAUGCUAAUACCGCAUACGUCCUACGGGAGAAAGCAGGGGAUCACUUUUGACCUUGCGCUAAUAGAUGAGCCUACGUCGGAUUAGCUAGUUGGUGGGGUAAAGGCCUACCAAGGCGACGAUCUGUAGCGGGUCUGAGAGGAUGAUCCGGCACACUGGGACUGAGACACGGCCCAGACUCCUACGGGAGGCAGCAGUGGGGAAUAUUGGACAAUGGGGGGAACCCUGAUCCAGCCAUGCCGCGUGUGUGAAGAAGGCCUUAUGGUUGUAAAGCACUUUAAGCGAGGAGGAGGCUCUUUUGGUUAAUACCCAAGAUGAGUGGACGUUACUCGCAGAAUAAGCACCGGCUAACUCUGUGCCAGCCGCCGCAGUAAUAC
rnacentral:rRNA from 1 species